CAGGGAGUCCGGCGGUAAACAGUGGGUCGGCGCGUAAAGCGCGGUGAUUAAUCAGAGUACCUACUGUAAGGAGUUUGUACAAUCCGACAUAAACCGGCUUCAGUUAUCUCCGGCCAAUGAAGCCAAAACUCCAUUUGCCCGGAUGGCUGCAGCUCCAAGAUGCUUGACACCAUCCAGGAAAAAGCAGCCCACUUGAUUGGCACCAAAUCCACAAGCAUCCACUCUCUCCACCAUCGACGUUUAGUAGUAACAGUGUGUAUCAUUCUUCAAAAUGCACUACAGAAAUUCACCAAGGCUCCCUAGACAACAUCUUCCAAAUCCACGACCACUUCCAUCCACAAAGACAAGGGCAGCUGAUACAUGGGAACACCAGGACAAACAAGUUGCCCUCCAAGCCACUGACCAUCCUGACUUGCACAUUCCUGCAGUGUGUCUGGGUCAAAACCGUGAAAUUCUCUCCCUAAUGAUGUCGUGGGUCUACCUACAAUGUAUGGGCUAGAGCUGUUAGGAGGCAGCUCACCACCACCUUCUCAAGGGCAACUAAGGAUGGAUAAUAACUGCUGGCCCAACUAGUGACACCCACAUCCCAUGAAUCAAUUUAGAAAAGUACUAUUGAGGUGUAGUAACUGUUGUAUUAUUACACAGAACUCAGAAAGGCACUGUAUUCUUAAGAGAGCUAGAUGACUUCAUAGUGCAUGAUGCUGUAGUGCAAGAGGUCUCCAUCUUACUCUCUACAUUGAAUCAACAGUUAGCAAGCAGUCAGUUGAUCAGUUGCUUAGUGAGCCGGUGAACUAUGAAUGUAAUAUAUUAAUAAAACAAGUAAGCAUUUUGCCUAGAAUCUA